AGUGAACGCUGGCGGCAGGCUUAACACAUGCAAGUCGAACGGUAACAGAGCUACAGGUGCUGCCGAGUGGCGAAGGGUGGCGGAAGGCAGCGGAACGUACCCGGAUGUAGUGGAUAACGCAGGGAAAGGUGGGGUAAUACAGCAUGUGAUCUGAUGAGAAAAGCGGGUGACAGAGCGGGAAUGUUUGACCUCGCGCGUUUGGAGCGGCCGAUGUCGGAUUAGCUAGUUGGCGGGGUAAAGGCCCACCAAGGCGACGAUCCGUAGCUGGUCUGAGAGGACGAUCAGCCACACUGGGACUGAGACACGGUCCAGACUCCUACGGGAGGCAGCAGUGGGGAAUUUUGGACAAUGGGCGCAAGCCUGAUCCAGCCAUGCCGCGUGCGUGAAGAAGGCCUUCGGGUUGUAAACCGCUUUUGUUAGGAAAGAAAAGCUGUAGGUUAAUACCGCGCGGUUCUGACGGUACCCGAAGAAUAAGCACCGGCUAACUUCGUG
rnacentral:rRNA from 1 species